UCCCAUCAUGCCAGGUCUGGGGCUCCCAGCACUGAGUAGCUGCUCUCCAGGCUGCCUUCCAGUGCCCAACAGGCAAGUUGAUGCAAGACCUCAAGACUGAGCUGUGGUUACGGCACUCAGGUGUUUUGGCAGGCAGCCUUCAAGAGAGGCUGGGCUUGGGGGACACAGGGUGGAAACCCCCAAUGCUUGGGGCUGAGGUCUGGCCAGGAGUCACUCACGUCACUGAGCAAACCCCAACGUGGAGUUCCCGGGCUCCAGAAGCAAGAGCAAGGCACGGGGUGCUGUGCCUGUCCCCACUCAGCCGGAGCAGCUCUCCGCAGGUGAGGGCAGAGCUUUGGACAGACUCCAGCCUGCUCUGUCCUCCUGCCAGACAGCCCUGAGGUGGACAGCAAACAUCUCUGCCCCCACCCUCCAUAUCUUGUGCACAGCGCAAGCAUCAAUCACCAGGCACGUGGCGCUGGCAUCAUUCUGCAAAACAGGAGUUUUCAGGGUAAGUAUGCUCUUCAAAACACCUCAGAGUCUGCAGAAAACAGGCUGAUUAAACAGACACCUCCCUAGCAGAGCGUACACCGGCCAAGAAGGAGCCCCUACCCAAGACAACAGAUAACUGAGCAAGCUGACGAUGUUUCAAUUACUAAACUCCAGUGGAGAAACCACCACAUCACCGCUGAGGACUUGUCACCAAGUUCAACAGUAUUUAACCCCACCACAAAAUGAAGACUGUUAUUCACCCAUUGCCCUGGAGCAGCUUCCUUCUACACAGGCACUGCCAUGUGUUGCACAACACUCGGAUGGAAUGCUGCAGCUGCAGCCUUCGCACACAGCUCCACCGCUAACUUGCUGCCCUUUCUCUGCUGCACCACAAAGGCAACCACAACUCAGACCAGGCUCCACUAUCAUGGGAACCAGCUUAUUAUCACGGCACAUUUUUCUUGCCCUGUAUCUCUACUUUGACUAACCUAGUUUCAAAACUUACCUGUUGGCAUCAACAUGUGUUCAGCAGCAGCAAAAAAGGGAACUGCAAGGCAGGAGUUUUCCCAGAUAUGCUCGUUUGAAGUCAACAUCACAGAGCCUCUAACGUGGAUCCAAGUUUGGGGUAGAUGUUCUUGCUGGUGAUUUACAGAAUGGCAGAGGCACAUGCAAGAAAUUCCUCACAGGCAGCUACACAGGGAUCAUGGGGUAUUUGCAUAUUAAAUUCAAACUGAGAUGGCAGAAAUCCCUCUCCUUCCAGAAGCUUCACUAAACAUUAUAGAUGGAAAAGUGCUCAGUUACUCCUGCUUGAGACAAGAUCUGAUGUGAAAUAGGACUGAGGAGCUAAUCAUCAACAGGCAGCAAAACUCAGCCCAGGGUUACUAUUUCCACUGUUGCUCACCUGCACUCCAGUACCUCCUCUGCCUGCCACCACUCCUCCAUGAGACCCUCGUCUGUCAGCAGCAAGAUGUUCACCCGCUGAAUUAAAUCUCCAACCCAAUUCAUUCCGGACACAACAGACUGUGCUCUUCACAGGCCCAACCUCUAUGCCCCUCUCCCUUCUCAGUCAACCCAGAGCCACAGAAAGUUGCAGGGCUGCUUCUUCCUCACAGGCAUUAAUUUGUUUAGUCAAAAGCCACAUCACCGAUUGCUGCUGGGCUUUCCAGUGUCAACAGGCCGACACUGCUCCACUACUCUUAGAAAAGACAGAGAGUCAAGUCCUUCAUCACUGCUUCAGUUAUUUUAGUUUAUCCCCUCCAUCUCCUCUCCCUCCGUUUAUCUUCUCUGAAAAGCACCUUCUGGUUUUAAAGGUUUCGAUCUUCUUUUCAAAGAGGAAACAUCAGUGUGAGAACCUGGAGUGUCUUUACAGUCAAGAAAGACUUUUGCCUUACAAAUCCUCUUUGAAAUAAUUCCUUUGUUUGAUCAUUUAUGCUUUUUUCUUUCCCUAAACUCGUAUCUGUUGGACUGUGAAUUAGCAUUAUUGUUGAUCACUGCUGCUUUGCUUACUGCUUCUCAGACACUGAAAUACCACACUGUGUUUGAAUGCAAUCAUGCUGCAAUAAAACAAACAUGGAUUUUGUUUGUAAA